rnacentral:rRNA from 1 species
GAUGAACGCUGGCGGCGUGCCUAAUACAUGCAAGUCGAGCGAACGGACGAGAAGCUUGCUUCUCUGACGUUAGCGGCGGACGGGUGAGUAACACGUGGAUAACCUACCUAUAAGACUGGGAUAACUUCGGGAAACCGGAGCUAAUACCGGAUAAUAUUUUGAACCGCAUGGUUCAAAAGUGAAAGACGGUUUUGCUGUCACUUAUAGAUGGAUCCGCGCUGCAUUAGCUAGUUGGUAAGGUAACGGCUUACCAAGGCAACGAUGCAUAGCCGACCUGAGAGGGUGAUCGGCCACACUGGAACUGAGACACGGUCCAGACUCCUACGGGAGGCAGCAGUAGGGAAUCUUCCGCAAUGGGCGAAAGCCUGACGGAGCAACGCCGCGUGAGUGAUGAAGGUCUUCGGAUCGUAAAACUCUGUUAUUAGGGAAGAACAUAAGUGUAAGUAACUGUGCACAUCUUGACGGUACCUAAUCAGAAAGCCACGGCUAACUACGUG